rnacentral:lncRNA from 1 species
AUAAUUUUCUCUUCUUCUUCCUCACGUAUCCACCGCUCUUCUCCAUUUUAGAAAAAAAAACAGCAAAAAGCCGACAUCUCCUCCUCCAAACUCAGAUGACAUCUUCUCCUCAUCUCCAGGCCUCUAGCGAGUGUUUUUCAUAAUACAUUGUUAUCCCAAACUCUUACUUAAACCUCCACCGCUACUUCCACUACUUAGCUAUCAACAAAUCAAGAUAAACACCUGUCUUACUUUUAAUUUUAUAGUUUUCUUUGUUAAUUUGUGAUUAUUUUAUUUUAUUUUAGUUUUGAUUAGAUUAUUGUUUGUGUGAUAUAUUAAGUAUUGUUUGAAUUGAGAUA